GGCCGCUUGCUGGAAUCGGUAGACAGACCGGACUUAAAAUCCGUUGCUCGUAUGGGCGUGUGGGUUCAAGUCCCACAGCGGCCACCA
rnacentral:tRNA from 1 species